UCCACAUUCUAAAAACAAUCCACUCUGUGAGGUGCAACAGUUAAUAGCAUGUUAGAGUUCUAGUGGAA
ensembl:snoRNA SNORD28 Small nucleolar RNA SNORD28